rnacentral:rRNA from 1 species
UACGUAGGGUGCGAGCGUUGUCCGGAAUUACUGGGCGUAAAGAGCUCGUAGGUGGUUUGUCGCGUUGUUCGUGAAAACUCACAGCUUAACUGUGGGCGUGCGGGCGAUACUGGCAGACUGGAGUACUGCAGGGGAGACUGGAAUUCCUGGUGUAGCGGUGGAAUGCGCAGAUAUCAGGAGGAACACCGGUGGCGAAGGCGGGUCUCUGGGCAGUAACUGACGCUGAGGAGCGAAAGCGUGGGGAGCGAACAGG